GGGCUGUAGCUCCUUGGUAGAGCAUCUGCCUUUCGAGCAGAAGGAACCAGGUUCUAUCCCUAGUAGCAUCC